rnacentral:rRNA from 1 species
ACGUAUGGGGCGAGCGUUGUUCGGAAUUACUGGGCGUAAAGGGCGUCUAGGCGGUGGAUUAAGCUAGAUGUGAAAGACAUGGGCUUAACCCGGGGAUUGCGUUUAAAACUGGUUCUCUUGAGUUACGGAGAGGAAGGUAGAAUUCCUGGUGUAGCGGUGAAAUGCGUAGAUAUCUGGAAGAACACCGGUGGCGAAGGCAGCUCUCUGGCCUAGAACUGACGCUGAAGCGCGAAAGUGUGGGGAUCGAACAG